UUUAUAAUUAUAGCGCCCGAACUCAUAAUUGGACGGAAUAGAUUAUGAGUUGACGAGGAGAGGGAUUAUCGAACUUUCGGCGGAUACCCUCAGGCUAGAGCUAUUAGCCUAUAACUAAAUUCUUAAAAGUUAGGAGCAAUCCUGAUGACAAAGGAAUUUAAGAAUAGCUAU
rnacentral:ncRNA from 3 species